UUUUAGUUUGGGAAAAUGAAUGAAUUAAUUAAGAAGAUACAAAGAGGGACACUUACCAUUACCAAGGUAACAGCCUAGUCUUCUUGUCUUGUCUCCUCAUCUCGUUCACUGUAAAAUCCCCAUUACCGUUUCAUUCAGCACUCAAUCGCAGGCAUCAACCUAAUAUAUUGUGUGUGGAGUGGAGGGUUCUCUGCUCAGAUGUCAAAUAAUCCGCAAUUUCCAGGUUUACAGCCUCUUCGGCCUCCUAUUACUGGUUCAGUGGAACCUCCCCGCAAUUAUGCUCCACCUAUGCCUGUUCAGUUCCGACCUGUUGUUCCUGCUCAGCAGCCACAACAGUUCAUUUCCAUGCCUUCUCAACAUUACCAGCAUCACCAACAUCAACCUGUUGGUCCUGGUGGUGUUCCCAUGAUAGGUGUUGGAAUGCCUCCUCAAAAUCAACAGCCCCAAUUUUCUCAACCAAUUCAACAGUUACCCCCAAGACCUAAUCCGCAGUUACCACCCCCAUCGCAGGCAAUUCCAAUGCCGGUUGCUCGCCCAAACCUGCACAUCCCAUCUGAAUCAAUGAUGCCUCAACCUGAUUCUCAAGCUCCAAAUGGUUACACACCAGGUGUAGGUGGUCCGGGAAUGACACUCUCUUCAUCAUAUACGUUUGCAGCAUCCAAUUAUGGUCAAGUGCAGACAAAUUUUAAUUCUACCGGGCAAUUUCAACCUAUUCCUCAAGUUCAUGCUCUCACGGGCUCUUCAUCCCAGAGCAUUACCACAGGGCCAACUCUUCAGAGCAACGGUGGAGGACAGCCUUUAGUUACAACUGUCAUGCCUUCGGCUACCAUUGUCCAGCCACAGCUGGCUAAGAAUGGCUCCACAGAUUGGAUUGAGCAUACCACUGCUACUGGAAGAACAUUUUAUUACAAUAAGAAAACUAAAGUAUCUAGUUGGGAGAAGCCUUUUGAAUUGAUGACGCCUAUUGAGAGAGUGGAUGAAUCAACAAACUGGAAGGAGUAUAUUAGUCCCGAUGGACGAAAGUAUUUCUACAACAAGGUCACAAAGGAAUCUAAGUGGUUAAUUCCUGAGGAACUGAAGUUGGCUCGUGAGCAAGUUGAAAAAGCAAUUGUCAGUGGACCACAUUCUGAAGCAUUACCGAAUUCUCAUACUCAACCCUCUCCGGCACCUUCUGUGGCUGAAGCAACAGUAAAUGCAGAUAAUAUAUCUGUAAGCAGUCAAGGGGAACCAUCAAGUCCUGUUUCAGUUGCUCCAGUUGUUACUACAUCCACAAGUACUCCACAACCUGAGAUGCCUUCUGGGCCAUCUACGUCUCCUUCUGCAACCCCUAUAGCUGGAUCAAAAGUGGAUGAACUUGAGGCACCUGUAAAUAUUGUCACACCAUCAGAAACCAGUGCGGGAGGUGAUAAAGCUGUUGAUACGGAUGUUAGCGCUUCUAUAACACCAACGAACGACACUAACAAUGAUUCAACUCAAGAUAUUCUAGGUUCUGCCGAUGGAGUUCCUGCAGAAGACAAAGAAGAUGGUAAAACUGAAUCAGUAGGGGAGAGAAGUAAUCACGCGGCUGGAGAAACAAAGGCAGUUGAGCCAGAAACCCUUGUUUUUGCAAAUAAGAUGGAGGCCAAAGAUGCUUUCAAAGCACUCUUGGAUUCUGCAAAUGUUGGAUCUGACUGGACUUGGGAUCGGGCUAUGCGUUUAAUAAUUAAUGAUAAAAGGUAUGGUGCGUUAAAAACACUUGGUGAAAGGAAGCAAGCUUUCAAUGAGUACUUAAAUCAGAGGAAAAAACAUGAAGCUGAGGAAAAGCGAAUGAAACAAAAAAAAGCACGGGAGGAUUUUAAAAAAAUGUUAGAAGAAUCCACGGAUUUGACUUCAUCCACUAGAUGGAGCAAAGCCGCGCCUAUAUUUGAAAACGAUGAACGAUUCAAGGCUGUUGAACGUGACAGAGAUCGUAGGGAUAUGUUUGAAAGCUUCUUGGAGGAACUUGUAAACAAGGAACGAGCAAGGGUACAGGAGGAACGAAAGCGAAAUAUAAUGGAAUACAAAAGGUUUUUGGAAUCGUGUGACUUUAUAAAGGCUAGUACACAGUGGAGAAAAGUUCAAGAUCGCUUAGAGGCUGAUGAAAGAUGUUCUUGUCUUGAAAAAAUUGAUCGCUUGGAAAUAUUCCAGGAUUAUUUACGUGAUUUAGAAAAGGAAGAGGAAGAGCAGAAGAAGAUUCAAAAGGAAGAACUGAGAAAGAUAGAACGAAAAAACCGUGAUGAGUUCCGCAAAUUGAUGGAGGAACAUAUCGCCUCAGGCAUUCUUACAGCAAAAACUCACUGGCGUGAUUAUUAUACAAAGGUGAAAGAUUUACAUGCCUACAUAGCAGUGGCAUCAAACACAUCGGGUUCAACUCCCAAAGACUUGUAUGAAGAUGUUGCUGAAGAGCUAGAUAAACAAUAUCAUGAAGAAAAAAGUCGAAUAAAAGAUGCAAUGAAAUUGGCAAAGAUCACCUUAUUCUCAACCUGGACGUUUGAAGACUUCAAAUCAGCUGUAUCAAAAGACAUUGGUACUUCUCCAAUAUCUGAUUUCAAUUUAAAGCUUGUGUUUGAAGAGCUACUAGAACGGGUGAAAGAGAAGGAGGAGAAGGAAGCUAAGAAGCGCAAACGUCUUGCCGAUGAUUUCUUUCAUCUGCUAUAUUCUAUCAAGGACAUUACUGUGUCUUCAAAUUGGGAGGACUCAAUACCACUUGUUGAAGAUAGCCAGGAGUUCAGGUCUAUUGGAGAUGAAAGCCUUUGCAAGGAAGUAUUCGAGGAGUACAUUGCACAACUGAAAGAAGAGGCAAAAGAAAGUGAGCGGAUACGGAAGGAGGAAAGGAUGAAGAAGGAAAAAGACAGGGAGGAAAGAGAGAGAAGAAAAGGGAAGCAAAGACGGGAGAAAGAUGGAGGGCGUGAAAGAGGGAAAGAUGAGGCACACAAGAAGGAUAAAGCAGACAGUGACAGUAUGGAGUUAUCUGAAAUCCAAUCAUCUAAAGAAAACAAAAGGAAGCAGCGUCAUAGUCCAGAGCACGAGAUGGAUAAAGAGAAGACUAAGAAAUCUCACGGUCAUGGUAGUGACCGCAAGAAGUCAAAGCGCCGUGCAUCUGGCCAUGAAUCAGAUGAAGGACGCCACAAAAGACACAAGAGAGACCACCGCAGAGAAGGUGAUCAUGGAGAUCUUGAAGAUGGGGAAUUUGGAGAUGGUGUGGAUAGAUGACUGGACCCAAUCGGACUUGGUUAUGUUGCGAUGGUGUUAUGUCACUGAUUGCCUGUAACAAUUAUUGUUUCUCUUUCCUAGGCUGAACCUGAUUCAUAACCACAAGUAGUUGAUCUGCAUUCUGGCCUGUGAUCAGAACUCGGCACCUAGGGAAAUGCUUAACACCGCGAGCUAUCGGAAAUUCCAAAAUGGUCAUAACCGAGAAAUCAUUCUCUUAAUCAGGUAACAAGCACCGCUUAUUUGACUUGCGUUGUUUUAUCUAUCAUUAGUGAAGUUCACACUAGACACAACCCUUUUAUUUAGACUUUGUUUUUCCCUACCACAAUUAUUACUGAAUUAUCUUUUCGAGGUGAAGUUUAUUUGGUAAAGGAAUGUAUUGUAACUUCUUUGGCACGAAAAUGUAGAUUACAUAGAUAGUGCGAUAAAAGUCUAGUAUCAGAUUAUAGAUCAAAGUGCCUUUUUUCACGGUUAGAACCGAAGAAUUCUUCCACAAAUAGGUUCUAGCCAACCAUUUUUUAA